GCCACGGUGGUCUAGCGGUUAGAACGCUGGCCUUGUAAUCCUGGGGUCUCGGGUUCGAAUCCCGGCGUUGCC
rnacentral:tRNA from 1 species